rnacentral:rRNA from 1 species
GUGGGGAAUAUUGGACAAUGGGCGCAAGCCUGAUCCAGCCAUGCCGCGUGAGUGAUGAAGGCCUUAGGGUUGUAAAGCUCUUUCAGUGGGGACGAUAAUGACGGUACCCACAGAAGAAGCCCCGGCUAACUUCGUGCCAGCAGCCGCGGUAAUACGAAGGGGGCUAGCGUUGUUCGGAUUUACUGGGCGUAAAGCGCACGUAGGCGGAUCGUUAAGUCGGGGGUGAAAUCCUGGAGCUCAACUCCAGAACUGCCUUCGAUACUGGCGAUCUUGAGUCCGGAAGAGGUGAGUGGAACUCCGAGUGUAGAGGUGAAAUUCGUAGAUAUUCGGAAGAACACCAGUGGCGAAGGCGACUCACUGGCCCGUUACUGACGCUGAGGCGCGAAAGCGUGGGGAGCAAACAGGAUUAGAUACCCGAGUAGUCC